rnacentral:lncRNA from 1 species
UCUUUAUAUUUAAUUUUGAUCAUAAAAUGAUUUAAUUCUCUCCAAUACCUUUCGAUCCCCUCUCCUAAUCGAAUAAGGCCUCCGUGGGUGCGGAGGCAGACGACGUGGCUUCAUGCCUACCAUUCACGCCGACAAAAAUUUUAGGAUGCGAAUAAGGAGAGGUAGCUUUUAAUAGAAGAGAUUCUACGAUGGCACAAAAACGCAGGCGCCGUCGCCGACAUCCGCCCGAUGCGUUGAGAUAUGCGGCAAUGUUCGUUCUCCACUCCAACCCAUAGGGGUUCAACAUUUGUUCAAAAUCCCAACAAGGUCCUAGUGAUCAGAAAACAUCCAAGACGAGGAAAUGCGGUGGAAGAUGUGGGACAGUACCUGUUGGAAGCAAAAUGACGAGCACACGCUCAAUAUGCGGCGAGGGGAGGCAGCCGGGAAGACAAGCGCUGUGAAGGAGGCCGGAACAACAAUUCUAGGCCAUUGCCUAUCCUUGCCUACCCUGCACGUCUACAAAAAUUCUAGGCCACAAGUUAAGUCUGGUAAUCAUACAUGUCAUGUAUGUCAGCUAGGCAAACAUGUUAGGUUUGCCAUUUCCACAUGUUUGCCAUUUCCUCGAUCUACAAACAUUUUGUUGUUUCCUUUUCAAUUAGUUCAUUGUGAUGUAUGAACCUCGCAUGUUGUCAGUAAUUCUGGUUACAAGUUUUAUCUUGUGCUCAUGGAUGAUUUCCCUGAUUUUACCUGGACAUUUCCUUUGGGACAUAAAAAUCUUGACGGUGGCAUGUACAUCAAUUGGAUGUUAAGAACGCAUUCUUGCAUGGUGAUCUGUCUAAACGUGUUUAUGCUUUUCAAUCAUCCGGCUUCAAUGACAAGGAUUUCCCUAAUCAUGUUUGUCUCCUUCACAGGUCUUUAUAUGGAUUAAAACAGGCACCACGUGUAUGGUACCAGCGAUUUGCUAGUGAGCUGCUGAAUCUUGGGUUCCGUUCCACACGUUCGGACUCUAGAUCAUGGUGUUGGUGUUCAUAUUAAAGCCUCCAGGACCAAUGAUCUCGCAUAUUCAGAUACGGACAAGGCUGGCUACCCUAUAGAUGACAAGGAUUGCCCAACACAUGACUUCAUCAGCUUCUCCUGUCUCCAAGCUCAUUUGAAGCCAAAGCCAUUUCGCAGCAUGCAACAGUACCCUGAGCAUAAAACCUGAAACAGCAAGUAGCCAUGCUAAAGAGGGCCUAUGCUUUAACAUACCUUAUGCAGUUAUGCUCCAUAUUGUGGGUCUAAGUAUCCAGAAUUACAUUAUGUUUCAUGUUGACAAUGACAAGCAGAUGAUACCACAAGACGAAACUUAACACAGGUUACAUUGGCAACUGGUGCUGUCCUGUCGCUAUACAAAA